CGGCGAGUGAAGCGGCAACAGCUCAAAUUUGAAAUCUGGCCUCCUUUGGGGGUCCGAGUUGUAAUUUGCAGAGGGUGCUUUGGCGUCGGCAGCGGUCUAAGUUCCUUGGAACAGGACAUCACAGAGGGUGAGAAUCCCGUACGUGGUCGCCUGCCUUCGCCGUGUAAAGCCCCUUCGACGAGUCGAGUUGUUUGGGAAUGCAGCUCUAAAUGGGAGGUAAAUUUCUUCUAAAGCUAAAUACUGGCCAGAGACCGAUAGCGCACAAGUAGAGUGAUCGAAAGAUGAAAAGCACUUUGGAAAGAGAGUCAAACAGCACGUGAAAUUGUUGAAAGGGAAGCGCUUGCAGCCAGACUUGCUCGCAGUUGCUCAUCUGGGCUUUUGCCCAGAGCACUCUUCUGCGAGCAGGCCAGCAUCAGUUUGGGCGACCGGAUAAAGGCCUCUGUCAUGUAUCUUCCUUCGGGAUGACCUUAUAGGGGAGGCGUAAUGCGGCCAGCCUGGACUGAGGUCCGCGCAUCUGCUAGGAUGCUGGCGUAAUGGCUGUAAGCGGCCCGUCUUGAAACACGGACCAAGGAGUCUAACAUCUAUGCGAGUGUUUGGGUGUCAAGCCCGGGCGCGUAAUGAAAGUGAACGGAGGUGGGAACUCUCUCGGGGGUGCACCAUCGACCGAUCCUGAUGUCUUCGGAUGGAUUUGAGUAAGAGCAUAGCUGUUGGGACCCGAAAGAUGGUGAACUAUGCUUGAAUAGGGUGAAGCCAGAGGAAACUCUGGUGGAGGCUCGCAGCGGUUCUGACGUGCAAAUCGAUCGUCAAA
rnacentral:rRNA from 1 species